CGUAGGGUGCGAGCGUUAAUCGGAAUUACUGGGCGUAAAGCGUGCGCAGGCGGUUAGCCGUGUCCGAUGUGAAAGCCCCGGGCUCAACCUGGGAAUGGCAUUGGAAACUGGCUGGCUGGAGUGUGGCAGAGGGGGGUGGAAUUCCACGUGUAGCAGUGAAAUGCGUAGAGAUGUGGAGGAACACCGAUGGCGAAGGCAGCCCCCUGGGCCAACACUGACGCUCAGGCACGAAAGCGUGGGGAGCAAACAGGAUUAGAUACCCUGGUAGUCCACGCCCUAAACGAUGUCAACUGGGUGUUGGGGAAGCGAUUCCUUGGUACCGUAGCUAACGCGUGAAGUUGACCGCCUGGGGAGUACGGCCGCAAGGUUA
rnacentral:rRNA from 1 species